GAAGUAGCUGGAAUAAGUAGUGUAGCGGUGAAAUGCAUAGAUAUUACUUAGAACACCAAUUGCGAAGGCAGGUUACUAAGCAACAACUGACGCUGAUGGACGAAAGCGUGGGGAGCGAACAGGAUUAGAUACCCUGGUAGUCCACGCCGUAAACGAUGCUAACUCGUUUUUGGGGCCUUGAGCUUCAGAGACUAAGCGAAAGUGAUAAGUUAGCCACCUGGGGAGUACGUUCGCAAGAAUGAAACUCAAAGGAAUUGACGGGGGCCCGCACAAGCGGUGGAUUAUGUGGUUUAAUUCGAUGAUACGCGAGGAACCUUACCAAGGCUUAAAUGGGAAUUGACAGGUUUAGAAAUAGACUUUUCUUCGGACAAUUUUCAAGGUGCUGCAUGGUUGUCGUCAGCUCGUGCCGUGAGGUGUUAGGUUAAGUCCUGCAACGAGCGCAACCCCUGUCACUAGUUGCCAUCAUUCAGUUGGGGACUCUAGUGAGACUGCCUACGCAAGUAGAGAGGAAGGUGGGGAUGACGUCAAAUCAUCACGGCCCUUACGCCUUGGGCCACACACGUAAUACAAUGGCCAGUACAGAGGGCAGCUACACAGCGAUGUGAUGCAAAUCUCGAAAGCUGGUCUCAGUUCGGAUUGGAGUCUGCAACUCGACUCUAUGAAGCUGGAAUCGCUAGUAAUCGCGCAUCAGCCAUGGCGCGGUGAAUACGUUCCCGGGCCUUGUACACACCGCCCGUCAAGCCAUGGAAGUCUGGGGUACCUGAAGUCGGUGA
rnacentral:rRNA from 1 species